UACGUAGGGCGCAAGCGUUGUCCGGAAUUAUUGGGCGUAAAGAGCUCGUAGGCGGCUUGUCACGUCGGAUGUGAAAGCCCGGGGCUUAACCCCGGGUCUGCAUUCGAUACGGGCAGGCUAGAGUGUGGUAGGGGAGAUCGGAAUUCCUGGUGUAGCGAUGAAAUGCGCAGAUAUCAGGAGGAACACCGGUGGCGAAGGCGGAUCUCUGGGCCAUUACCGACGCUGAGGAGCGAAAGCGUGGGGAGCGAACAGG
rnacentral:rRNA from 1 species